CCCUUAGAUGUCCGGGGCCGCACGCGCGCUACACUGAAGGAAUCAGCGUGGCUUUCUCCCUGACCCGAAAGGGUUGGGAAACCCGUUGAAUCUCCUUCGUGAUAGGGAUUGGGGCUUGAAAUUGUUCCCCAUGAACGAGGAAUUCCCAGUAAGCGCGAGUCAUAAGCUCGCGUUGAUUACGUCCCUGCCCUUUGUACACACCGCCCGUCGCUACUACCGAUUGAACGGUUUAGUGAGGGCCUCGGAUUGGUCUCGGCCCGCUCUUUACCGGGCGGCGCCGUUGGUCGAGAAGACGCUCGAACUUGAUCGCUUAGAGGAAGUAAAAGUCGUAACA
rnacentral:rRNA from 1 species